AGAGGAAUAGCUGGGUCAAAUGGUGGUUGCAUUACCAGAUUUCCAAGGAAUCUCCAUAUUGCUUUCCAGAUUGGGUGCACCAAUUUGUAGUCUCACCAGCAAU
rnacentral:pre_miRNA from 1 species